UGCAAAAUAGAAUGGUAACGUGUGUGUGCCUUGCAUAUUAAUAUACAAAUGCAAUAAUGAUAGGUGUCACAACAGUAGAUGUAUGCGUGUCCAAUUUUCUUAAUCAUCACUUUCCUAAUUUAAAAGAUAAGAAAAGAAACAUAUAAUGUCAGCUAUUAUAUUUAAUACAUGUUAGAUGGAUCACAUCUAGUAAGUCGGCUUAUAAGGAAAUGAGGGAAAAGAAUUGGAUUUUGUUCAAAGAGGUCAAAGAUUGUAAUCGUGAAAUGGAAUCACAGAUUCGCUUAGAAUGUGAAAUAAGAAGGGACCUAUGAGUCCAAAUACAGAGGGAUCUUCGGGUCAUAGAGGAAUCCCGGGCAGAUACCAGGCUUGAUUUGUCACAGAAUAAUAAAUUGAGUAGAGAGACAUAUGUAUACGAAUAUUAAUUUGUUUAUGAUAUUUAUUGCUCCUGGUUAUAUGUAUUGCUUAAAGAGUAUGUUUGAUAAUUGUGUGGUGGGAAAUUAAAGGUGAAAUUUAUAUACAUUGGACUGUGGCUCAUAGAUAUCAACGAUAGAAAUAGAUAUUGGUUUUUGAAUGUAUCUGAUAUGAGUGUUUUGUGUUUGAAUGUAUCUGAUAUGAGUGUUUUAUUUGACAUGUGGAUUAAUAUUUUUAAAAUU